AGCCAAUAGAUACCCUGGUAGUCCACGCCCUAAACGAUGUCUACUAGUUGUUGGUGGAGUAAAAUCCAUGAGUAAACGCAGCUAACGCGUGAAGUAGACCGCCUGGGGAGUACGGUCGCAAGAUUAAAAACUCAAAGGAAUUGACGGGGGCCCGCACAAGCGGUGGAUUAUGUGGAUUAAUUCGAUGCAACGCGAAAAACCUUACCUGGCCUUGACAUGCCACUAACGAAGCAGAGAUGCAUUAGGUGCCCGUAAGGGAAAGUGGACACAGGUGCUGCAUGGCUGUCGUCAGCUCGUGUCGUGAGAUGUUGGGUUAAGUCCCGCAACGAGCGCAACCCUUGCCAUUAAUUGCCAUCAUUUAGUUGGGCACUUUAAUGGGACUGCCGGUGACAAACCGGAGGAAGGUGGGGAUGACGUCAAGUCCUCAUGGCCCUUAUGGCCAGGGCUUCACACGUAAUACAAUGGUCGGUACAGAGAGUUGCCAACCCGCGAGGGGGAGCUAAUCUCAGAAAGCCGAUCGUAGUCCGGAUUGUUCUCU
rnacentral:rRNA from 1 species